CAGCUGCCAAUGCCCUGUCCCGUUUAGUAGGGGUAGGGGGACACGGCGAUGAGCAGGACGAAGACGCUUUGGUGGCGUGGCGCCGCGGCGCGCACGGUGAGCCGGUAGAGGCCAGAGCGGGGCCUGACCCCUGACCUGCACUUGAAGAUCUGCAUCAGCCAGGCUCUCGGGGACAACGCCAUUGACCACCACGUCGAGGAGCAGGAGGCCAUCGGGAUCCAGGCCCCGGGCCACCUGGGUCAUCGUGAGCAGCUCCCCUGCAAUCCAUCCCCACCCAGCCCAGAGUCACUACGGGAGGUCCUGGACGCAGGCUUCAGUCCUACCUGGCCCACCUAGGGGAGGCCCUGCUUACCUGUAGCAAACUCCACGUGUGACUCCUGCCGGAACCUGCCCCCGGUCAGGGAGUGGCCAUUCAGGGCUUCCCCACUCUCUCUGGCCAGGGCCCAGUAGAUGGGGGCGAUGGUGACCAGGAGCACCCGCAUCAGAGGUCCUGGGUGGGGCAGGGCGUGGAGGCCAGGUUAGAGCUGAUCCUCAGGGCAGCCACUCUCCCGCUCAAGGUCCCGUCAUGGCUCCCCACUGCCCCCAGGAGGGCUCAGCCCCUUCCUUUGCUGCCCAUACUCAGCCUUGUGACUGCCAUGCCAAUUAUUUAACCAGAAUCCGGGACCUGGUGGAGGCAAAUAAUCUACUUCCUGGAGUAACUGUGAAAUUAAUAAAUGUAUACAAGGAAAUGCUUAG